AUUGAACGCUGGCGGCAGGCCUAACACAUGCAAGUCGAGCGGUAGCACAGAGAGCUUGCUCUCGGGUGACGAGCGGCGGACGGGUGAGUAAUGUCUGGGAAACUGCCUGAUGGAGGGGGAUAACUACUGGAAACGGUAGCUAAUACCGCAUAACGUCACAAGACCAAAGUGGGGGACCUUCGGGCCUCAUGCCACCAGAUGUGCCCAGAUGGGAUUAGCUGGUAGGUGGGGUAACGGCUCACCUAGGCGACGAUCCCUAGCUGGUCUGAGAGGAUGACCAGCCACACUGGAACUGAGACACGGUCCAGACUCCUACGGGAGGCAGCAGUGGGGAAUGUUGCACAAUGGGCGCAAGCCUGAUGCAGCCAUGCCGCGUGUGUGAGGAAGGCCUUCGGGUUGUAAAGCACUUUCAGCGGGGAGGAAGGCGGUGAGGUUAAUAACCUCAUCGAUUGACGUUACCCGCAGAAGAAGCACCGGCUAACUCCGUGCCAGCCGCCGCAGUAACAC
rnacentral:rRNA from 1 species